GGGAGAGGAGAGAGGGUACGGCAGGCUCAGGGGAGGGGGUGGAGUGGGGGCAGGGCCUGUGGCAGAGCCAGGGGUUGAGCAGUAAACACCCCCUGACCCACUGGAAAAUUGGCGCCUGUAGCUCAAGCCCCUGAGUCGGUGCCUAUAAAAGGAGCUGCAUAUUAACUUCUGAAGAGCCGCAUGUGGCUCUGGAGCCACAGCAGUCAUGGAUGGGGAGAAAUGCAGC